GAUGAACGCUGGCGGCGUGCCUAAUACAUGCAAGUCGAGCGAACGGACGAGGAGCUUGCUUCUCUGACGUUAGCGGCGGACGGGUGAGUAACACGUGGAUAACCUACCUAUAAGACUGGGAUAACUUCGGGAAACCGGAGCUAAUACCGGAUAAUAUUUUGAACCGCAUGGUUCAAUAGUGAAAGACGGUUUUGCUGUCACUUAUAGAUGGAUCCGCGCUGCAUUAGCUAGUUGGUAAGGUAACGGCUUACCAAGGCAACGAUGCAUAGCCGACCUGAGAGGGUGAUCGGCCACACUGGAACUGAGACACGGUCCAGACUCCUACGGGAGGCAGCAGUAGGGAAUCUUCCGCAAUGGGCGAAAGCCUGACGGAGCAACGCCGCGUGAGUGAUGAAGGUCUUCGGAUCGUAAAACUCUGUUAUUAGGGAAGAACAUAUGUGUAAGUAACUGUGCACGUCUUGACGGUACCUAAUCAGAAAGCCACGGCUAACUACGUG
rnacentral:rRNA from 1 species